GUCGAAAUACGGUGCCGUUCCAGUAGCAUUUCGCAGCACCUCCAAUUCUAUUGUAAUUGUUAUUUUUAAAAAUUGCGAGUUAUACAAGUAAGUCAGAGAUCGUUUGGAAAUUUGUGUUGCAUCAAGUUGAACGGAAUUCCCCAACGAUGUCGAAAGAGGAGCGUGAAGCUGCCAUCAAUCAAAAGAUUGAGGAAAUUCGUAGGAAAAACGCAACCAUAACGCAGCGAUAUCAAGAAAUAGAAAAUGAUAAAAAGAACGCGGAAAAUUUUAGUCUAGUAGCAACCCAACGCAUGAAAACGCGUUCCGUGACUGAAAAUGACGUUGACGACAACAGUCCCACCGUGAAACAGCCAGCAGCAGCGCGCCCUGAAAAAAGCGAAAUGAAUCGUGAGCCAAAAGAGCCGCGCAAAAUAAAAAAAAAGCAUUCCGUUUCCGAUUUGGCUGCGACUACUGACUUUCGUCCCCAACGAUUAACAGAGAACGAUUUGCCUCCACCGGAUCCGGUGUUUUCCUACCUAACCGACCGGUUGCGGGAGGGAGCCUUUUGCGCACCCAUCAGUCCGGCAGCCAAUCGCAGACACAGCACGUCAUCUCAAUCCAGUGAAAUGAGUAUCGGCAGUAGUAGUCGAAGCAAUAAUUCUAGGAGGACCUCGACGACUUCCAACUCAUCUUGGACGAGUGACACAUCUUCAAAGUAUGACGGCUUUUCCAAUUAUCAGCCGCCGAGGAGAUAUUCGGUGUGCCGUGAUUACGUUCGUAAUCGACGGUUGAGUGAGCAACUGAAUACUUCUGACGAAAAAGAAGAUGAACAGUGGAAUUACAAUAAGCAAGGCCAAUUCCAACAGAAUAAUAAAGAUUUUAAGAAAUCAUUUCAAAGCAACACUGCUGCUCGUGAUCGGGAAACUGGAAAAGUUACAUGGGUAUCAUCGGAUGGACCGGAAUCCCAGAUUAGCGAGAUUACUGGAGGAUCCACAUUGCAACCUUGGAAGAGAGAAAUAUCUGUGACAAAUUCCAGGUCCGAGUAUGUGACAAAUUGGCGUGAUCGACACAUCGGCUACACUACUACUGCAGAAACAGAUUUUACUUCCAUUGAUGAAGGUGUAGCGCAGCUUGCGGUGUCUGUUGAAGACCCAAAUAACAACAAUGACAUGAUCAACCAUAACAUGCCGAUUGUUUGAAACAAAAUGGAAUCAAAUCACUCGCUGAUAAAAACACAGUUUUUUUUAUAUAAAAUUUGAACAGACCAGUUCUUCCUGUUAAAUUAUUUGUUUUGUAUUUAUUUACUUCUAACAGCUUAGCCGUAGCUAUUCUGCUGAACGGAGGUUAAUAUUCGGGUCCUUUUUUAGAUGUCAUCAAAGAUCAAACGAAUUCUUAAACCGAUUUCGAUUUGCACAAUAAUUAAGCAUAUUGGGUUGCCAAUAGAGAGGUGUGUAGAGGAAGGUAAGCGGGAUGGUGGCCGUCGCCCAAUGAGAUCAAAAGUGAUUGAUUUUGAUUUUACGGAAAUCUUAUCGCUAACGCCAUCAUUUUCUCCAAGCUAUCUAGCGUUCAUAGGAACAAACUCUUCAGCUUUUACUGUUUGGCUGCGAAAAAAAAGCAUUUUCUGCAAAAAUAAUGGACUAAAAGGGUAACUAUCGAUUCUGCGAUGGAUUUAAAAUAUUUAAAUUUAUGGGCGCAGCCAAAAUGGGUGAAGUAGGUGACCACGGUAAAUUUAAUGUCAUUGGCUUAAAUCUAAAUAAUAAAAAAAAAUAUAGGUUAUAAAGUGACUGGAUUUUUCCUAUGACAUGUUAAAUUUCAUUAUUUAUUUUAUUUAUAAUAAUUUCGGUAAACACGCAAAAUACCCUUCUUUUCAUUCCACAUCGUAAUAGUAAACUUUUCUAAACAUACGUACAAAUAACAACUAAAAAAAUUAACGCAAACGAUAUCCAAUCGUAUUGAUAAAUUCACCACUAGAUCGAUUAUAAUUUAACCGCUACCGAAAAAAAAAAAAAUUGCCCUGCUCCCGGAAUCCGCUGGACGGAUCGUUUUUUUUUUCGCCAUUCUCUUUCAGUCUUUCCUACAUCAUCGUUAUGUUGCAAUGAACGUACGUUGAUACUGACGUACCAGCAUCUACAUGAUCAGAUAUCAAGUUUAAGGCUUAUCUUGGUAAAAACCCUCUUGGUAAACCAAAAGGAAAUAAUGUAAAUUGUGGUAAGUAAAUCCGUUUUGUUUCGCGCAAUUAUUCAGAGUAUUUUUUCUUCGAUAUAGAGACUGAUACUGCAAAAACUGGUGGUAACAUUUUGGAUGUAUUAACAUUUUUUGCGCCAUAAGGAAGUAUAUCAAAAGUAGUAUUACAAUAAUAUUAAUACAA
rnacentral:misc_RNA from 1 species